rnacentral:rRNA from 1 species
CGUAGGGUGCGAGCGUUAAUCGGAAUUACUGGGCGUAAAGUGUGCGCAGGCGGCUCCGCAAGUCGAGUGUGAAAUCCCCGAGCUUAACUUGGGAAUUGCGCUCGAAACUACGGAACUGGAGUGUGGCAGAGGAAGGUGGAAUUCCACGUGUAGCGGUGAAAUGCGUAGAGAUGUGGAGGAACACCGAUGGCGAAGGCAGCCUUCUGGGCCAACACUGACGCUCAAGCACGAAAGCGUGGGGAGCAAACAGGAUUAGAUACCCUGGUAGUCCACGCCCUAAACGAUGAUGACUAGUUGUUGGAGGAGUUAAAUCCUUUAGUAACGCAGCUAACGCGUGAAGUCAUCCGCCUGGGGAGUACGGUCGCAAGAUUA